rnacentral:lncRNA from 1 species
CAUAGUCAGAGCGGGAUUUAAGCUUUCAGGGGCCAGGAACGACAUCUAGAAGCCACAUUUGCCAGAGCACUAAGGACAGUCAUCAGAUUCUCCUCCAAGAGGUCAGUCACUUGGACCAGAAGGUAUUGCUACCAGUUCAUUUCUACCUCACACUUGAAGGAAGUGAGCCGUGAGAUUUUAUUUCUGGAUUGGACAAUAGGCUUCCUAUUGUUGGUUGGCCUGCCCGCCCACACCUGUGUCACACAGGCUAAACGCCAUCACGACAGGGCUGUCCACAGCGAAGCAUUCACUGGACACUUGAGUUUGUCUCAGAAAUGGAGCAAAAGGGAAACAAAUGGUCUCAGGGUGGACUUAGUAAAUGUGCUCCUCUGCAUCAGAGCCUUGACGGUGUCCGUGAAACCUCCUCCCUUUCACCACCAGCCAGCAUACCUAGGAGUCGCUGCUAAAGUCUGUGCAUCUCUCUAAAGCUUGUUGUUUAGUUCCUAAUAGAGAUUAUUUUUUAAAAAGGUGAAGGAGAUGGUAGGAUAAUUCUGGAUGGUUGAUGGUUUAAAACAAAAGAAAAUAAAUCCAAAAAAUACCAGGGAAACAACACCAAAAUUGCAACACAAAACUUAUGCUUGUUUUUGAACAGAGUGCGAUGAUGGUUUGUUUCCAAGGUUCUGGCUCCUGGCCAUGUCAUUGCAAUGACCAACUCUACAUACUGAAAAUUGUCUCAGCAUUCGAUAUUAUUCUCCUCUAAAUCUUGUAUGGGCAAGAAUUACUGACCUCACUCUGGAAUGGAAAUCCCUUUGGCUUAAAGGUGCCGAUGUCACCAAACUAGAAGGCAGACUACAAUCCGGAUCUUUGUUUAGCUAACAUCACCAUGACCUUUCAGGAAUGCAAAAAAUCAGGCUCUUAGUCCAUCCCUCUGAGAGCAGUUUCACUGUGGAGCAGCUUCCUGGGCAGAGGGGACAAAUUUGUACCAGACUUCUGAAGGAUGUGUUGCUCAUCCCCCCUCCCCGGGCUUGUACCUCAUGGUUCCGUGAGUCAGAAAGGCACCUGGGCUGGGGCUGGCCAGGCAGGAUGGACACUUUCAUUGCCCCUUCACACCCGCUCUGGGGGAACCGGCAGCAGAACCCAGCAGUGGCAGCCCAAAGCUAUUUACCAAGGUACAGCUUCCCGGGCAGCCACACAAGAGGAGGCCACACCCUGCUCCUCGCUGAAAAAGGACCCAGGAGGCCCGGUCUGAUCAUUAACCUUCAUGAGGACACUGAAGGUCAGCUGUGGCCAGUCCUCUCUCUUUCAACAGGCAGAAAAGCACACAUAUUCGACCUUCCACGCUUUGCAGAAUGGUGGGUAUGAAUCCAAAUUAGAUGGCCCAGAAAUGCCAAAAACUUAUUUAUGUGUCUAUCUGUCUGUGUUGUCCGACUGUACCAAUUCAGCAAUUCAAAAGGAAAAGCCUCAAAGAUGAAAAGCUUAAGUAGCUGGAGUAGGGACUCUCUCACCGAUGACAUGGACUUUGCGUUCCACCCAUUAAUCUCUAAUUUUCAAUAAAUUUGUCAAACUUAUCUCUUACCCAGCAUUUCUUUCAACAGAUUCAACAAUAACUUCAUCUCAGCGUACUUGGUAAGGAAGCUCUGAAGUGUUUGACCUAGAAAUGACACAAAGUGUUAGGUGGAAGAUUCUCUUGCCUCUUAGGACGUAGCACAAGAGCGUGUCAAGCUGAGUAUGUCCAGGGCACAGUCCCAGAGGUGGCCUUGAGCGGAGAGCUAUCUUCCAGGGAACACAGGAUAUUUCUUCUUGUAUUGCUCUUAGGGUCAACUCUGUAUCAAGAGACAGAAACCAAGAUGACUCAAAAGCCCUUGAAAAAGAGGCAGUCUCCUCUUAGAGAACUGCGUGUUUUCAUACAGCCUGUGCAGAGGGAGAGCUGUGAUUAAGGACCUGUAUUUUUUAUUUGCAGACUUUCAGUUCUGCUCUAAUUUGGCUGAAACCAUGGGUUCCGAGUUUCAUUUCCAAACGGCCAGCUUCCGGGCACGCCUUGCGGUCCCGACCAGCUACGCGGUGGCCCACGGGGCCCUGUGGUGUCUCCUGUGAGAAGGGUGGGAGCUCCCCGGGCCGGAGGAGCGACCCCCCACGGGGUCCGUGCUCACCCCACAUCCGGAGGUAGCCGGGUUCCACACCGAAUGCAGAAGUUGUAGUGGGAGAAGACGCCAUCUCGACUGCACAUGGAAUUGUGGUCUGGAGUCUGAGUGACAAUCAGAAGAUUCAGGGGAACUCGAAAGGGACCAGAUGCUUUUAGGUCAGAGAUUUAAAAUUCGGAAAGCAAAAGAAAAGAGAGAGGGGAGAGAAGAGGAGGAAGGAACUUGCAAGUGUUGCUGCAUCUUGAGAAAGGGGGAACAGGACAUGAUAGCCUUCGCUGCUCCCCUCAGUGCUGCUAAUUCAGGACCAAUUCCCUGCCAAGCAGAAGCAGGAAGCUGCUUGGAGAAAGGGCUGGGCGCCCCGGGCUGCUCCCCACGCUCCCCGUGGGUCUGUCUCAUCUGCCGCCCCCGCUCGCUCUCCAGCAGGUCUGCGGCUCACGAGGACACUCGUUAUUCCUCAGCUACACGCCAAGAGGGAUCUAGAACACUUUGGAAAAAGAACACAAAAGCCCUGGGUCUGCUGAGCAGCCUGUGAUCCGAUUAUCUGGCUUUGCCGAGGGCCGAGGGGGAGUGCUGUUUAUCUGGUCAGGGGUCGCGGUGGCAUCUCAAAGCCGCCCGGCCCCAUCCUGGGAGAAGGGCCAGCAGCAGGAGCCGCGGCAUCCAGACAGCUCCCGAGCAGAGCAGCCCACCCGGGGACACCGUCUCCUUCCGAGGGCAGGCCGAAGGGCAGGCACAGGCGCUCCGGAAGCAGGGAGAGCAUGCGGGGCGGGGCGGGGAGGGGAUUUCAGAGCUCACGGGCCGUCCUCCUCCCUCUGAAGUGUCCUGUCGGCGGGAACCAGCCUGGGGACUUCACAGCGAUGUCUGAUGUCUCUCCUCAUCGACUGCUUUCCUCCACCAGUGGACUCCACCCCUCACCGCUCUCCCAUUGGCCCUCGCUGCCUCUCGGUCUUGCCCGCCCUUCCCGUCAGGAUGUGCCAACCAUUCUUCCACUUGGACCCGGGCCUCCCACGAGACAGAUACCCCUUGCUUUCUUCUCCGAUUCUCUUUUCUCUGACACAGGCUAAAUGGCUUGGGCCACUCUUCUAAUUAGCAAUGAUCGCGCCUCAGAUAAACCUCAUUGGCUGUGCUGCUGCCACUGGGAAAACCUGGAGGCACUCGCUCUCUUAGACGUACAGUUUUACCCAGUGGUCAGAGGGCUAUCACAGAAGAUUCUUCAGGACACUUUCCUUUGGGAGGCGUAAGAGGAGCACAGUAGAAAUUACGCUGGGCCUUUGCGUGUGCAUGAUUCGUCUGCAUGGCCCAAAUGUGAACCACGCAAUGCUCCCAGUGUGACGCAUCCUGGCAGUAACUGGCAGCGUGAAUGGAGAGCCGAGUAAAUGCCCCUCCCAGGUACAGAGGAAGGCUCUGAGAGGGCACAUUUUGUCCCUUGGGUGGCGUCUCUGUUGGCUGGGUGAUACUCGAGUGGCUUGCUGAUGUUUCCAAGACAUGAGAACUGGUUUUGACCAGUGAGGAACUUUCCUUAGGGCUACGUGAGUCGCAGGUUGUCACAGAGUAAAGUGAGCACUGAUUUAUGGAGGGUCGAGGGCCCCAACGUAGAGGCUGUAAAUCACUCCGGAGUUUGUUUUCUUCACUUACACAGUGGUUUCUGGUGAAACUUGGAGCUUUUUGUAGCUAACGGCAUUUCAACUUUGUCCCGAUGGAAAAGGUGGCCGACAAGAGGUGGUAGCAUUUCAGACGCGUUCAUCAGCCUGUGCUGCACAAGGAAUCCAGACCUACCAUUGAUGAGAGUUCGUGCAUCAAAACACCCAAGCGUUUCCCUUCCUACGGUCGCCUCGGUUCAGAUGCAUGGAGCGCAUAAGCCCAGCUCACAGUCCAGCACCUUCCGGCAGUUUGCUCUGAGGAGCUGCAGCUGUCCUUCCAGGGAGCGCAGGUGCCGGCCUCGGGUAACUCACAGCAGCGACGACAGCGGUCUGCACGUGUGUCAAAGUGGCUGGAGGUGGUGACCGGAAACUACCCGGGGACAUUUAUCCCCGGGAGAAGUCAGGAGGGCUGGCUCAGGUCCUUUGCCAAAGACAAUGCUGGUAGAAACAGAAUUCCAGGAGUCUGAGGGUUGAAUGAGAGGGGCUUUCCUAGGAGCCCAGACUCCUUCUGCCAGACCCCAGGAGUUGUUGACAAGAGCCAUAGCUGAAGACCCCAGAGCCAAAGCCUGCAUCAGCAAAUCUCCUCUGCUUAUCUGAAGAGCAAGACCCACAGGAUUACGCAGGAGAAAACAAUGUCAGAGCAGAAUUCACGGCCUGGUGAAGAAAGAAUCCGUGUUUCUUCCUUUGGAAUCUCUGCAAGAAAGCUCCUCAUAGAAAACUGAUUUCAGUAUGGUACAGUUUGCCUUAGUUCUCACUAAGGCUUUUCGUCCAUCGGAGGGCAUGGUAACAGUGACUGCGGUGAGAUCCAUCGGGUGCACGAUGUAAGUGCAGUAUGAAGGCGCUGCUGGCAGAUCUAGGCAGGAAGCGUGGCGUGCUGCGGCAGCAGGCAACUGCUCCCACACUGAGGGCCCGGCGCAGGUACUGACCCCACCAUGUGUGGCCCUGAGGGCAGCAGAGCACCUUCGUGCCCAGGGCCUUCGAAACUGCGCCUCUUCGUCACAUGUACUCCCUUGUCUCCAGCUCCGAGCAACGUAGACCCUGAGGGCCGCAGCUGUGCGCAGGACUCCGCCUUCCAGUACAGUUUCCAGGCCAGGUUUCUGCCUCUUUCUCACUAAACCAAGUCGGACCCACAAUGCCACACUCUCGAGAAAGCUUCCAAGCGUGGAGGACUCAAACUGCUGAUACCCGAACUGAUCUAAAUUUAACCUCAGGUAUCUUUGCCUUGUUAGAAUGGAGGCAGUUAGAGCGGGGAUAUAUUUGUUUUCGAGGCGAAAAGAUGAGAUUGACUUAAAUAGGAUGCACGAUGUAUUACUGAAAUCGUUUGAAAGGAGAACUGAUCUGAAAUAAGAUAUUCGGUGCUAUUUUCAGAUGAGGCCAGGAAACAGUGCUACUAUUAGAAAAUACAGUUUCUGACAGUGGAAGUACUUUCUUUUGUGAAAAAGACUAUGAAUAAAUUUAACAAGGAAACUAUAUUCAAAUAGAGCUUCUAACAUCCAACACAUUGUAUAAAUUCAUUAAUAAUAAAUAUAAACAAUAAAGAAAAAUACCAUUGAGAAUAAACUGCAAGGAAGAAACUGGUCCUAUGAAACAUCUUUCCAUGCCAUAAUAAUUGAUUAGUGUAAUAUCUUUUCAAGCUGUACCGCUCAGAAGUAUUUUAAAUAUUAUUUGACUAUAUAUGUAAUGUAUAUAUAUGUGUGUAUGUGUGUGUGCAUGUACUAUUCUUAGCUAAAUAUACACUAUUUUACUCAAGUGAAAUAUGAUAUCUGUCAUUUUUGUAACUAACUUAGAUUCAGUGUGGACUCCUCCAGGAUGUUCUCAUACAAUCAAACAAUUUGAUGUCAUAUUCUUUGCUUCAAUAUAAU